rnacentral:lncRNA from 1 species
UGCUGGCUUCCAGGAAUGACUUUGGGAGGGCUCCUUCCCUUUCAAUUUCAUUAGAAUUUGGGAAGUACUGGUGUUAGAUCUCUCCUGAAGUGCUUGGAGAAUUUGACAAUGCAUCCAUUGGGACCUGGGCUUCUCUUAGUUGGUAGGUUUUUUAUUACUGCUUAGAUUUCAUUGCCUGUUGCUGAAUUAUUCAUGGUUUUUAAACCUUAUUCAGUUUUGGUAAUUCAUAUGUCUCUAAGAAUCAAUGCAUUCCUUCUGAAUUCCCCAAAGUUUGGGUUUUUGUUUGGAUUGGGGAUUGAACUCAGGACCUUGUGCUUGCAAGGCAGACACAGUGCCACUGAGCUAAAUCUCCCGCCUUGAAUUCCCCAAUUUAUUGGGGUUUGUGAAGUACUGGCUAAUAAUGUUCUGGAUUUUGGUGGUGUCUGUUGUAAUUACAUUGAUUUGACUGGCUUGCUUGCUUGCUUUCUUUCUUUCUUUCUUUCUUUCUUUCUUUCUUUCUUUCUUUCUUUCUGACAGGAUCUUGCUAUGUAGUUUAGACUGGUCCUGAACUAUGAACUAUGUAGUCCAGGCUGGCCUUGAACUUAUGGCAAUCCUCUUGCCUCAGCCUCCUGAGUGCUAGGAUCACAGGUAUGCACACCACACUCGGCUUUUCUUUCCUGAGGAGGAAUCUGUCUGAAAAAGAUUUGAAAAGGCUGGCAAAGCAGCCCAGUGCGAAGGCCCUAGGUUCAAUCCUCAGUACCUGGCGAGGGGCAGCGGGGGUACUGAGUAAGUGAAUGAAUUUCCGCAGCUGGCCAGGAGGGGGAUGAACGUCGUGGGCCUGAGGCUGCUGCUAAGUGAGCUGGGGCCGGGGGCGGGGCGCGGGGCCAAAGCUGAUCCCACUCCGUCCUCCAGAGCGGCUCCACGGCAGGUCCACGCGUGUCAUCCAGGCCGAUUUCACCGGGGGCUUGGAGAUCUACGGUGCCAUCGAGGCAGGACUGCGGGGCCUGGAGAUCGGAGUGCUGGUGAACAAUGUGGGCAUGUUGUAUGGCGGCCUGUCCUCCUCCGACUCGAACUUGCAGAAGUUUCUGGACACCAAGAAUGUGGGCCAGGUGAGUCCCCGGCCGCUCGCGGCGCUCUCGUGCCCUCUGUUGGGCAGGCCGAAGAAUGCACCGGCGUCCGGAGAGCAAGGUGCUCUUUGCCUUUGGCUGGAAAAUUGUUUAAAACAACCACAAGUCUCUGUCCUUGAAUGACGCACCCUUUUGCAGUGCCCAACCUGCACAGCUGUGUGGGUUGAGCCCGGUUCUCACCUUUCAUAUUGCCUGGUCCUAAGUGUAAAGAAUUACCUACACGGGAGAACCAGCGCUGCCCUGUAGACAAUGUGGAUUCUCUAAAUUUUUAUUAUUAGUAGUGUGAGAGAGAGAGUGUGUGUGUGUGUGUGUGUGUGUGUGUGUGUGUGUGUGUGUGUGUGUGUGGU